GACGAACGCUGGCGGCGUGCCUAACACAUGCAAGUCGAGCGAUGAAAUUCCUUCGGGGAUGGAUUAGCGGCGGACGGGUGAGUAACACGUGGGUAACCUGCCUCAAAGUGGGGGAUAGCCUUCCGAAAGGAAGAUUAAUACCGCAUAAUAUUAGAUUUUCGCAUGAAGAACUAAUUAAAGGAGCAAUUCGCUUUGAGAUGGACCCGCGGCGCAUUAGCUAGUUGGUGAGGUAAUAGCUCACCAAGGCGACGAUGCGUAGCCGACCUGAGAGGGUGAUCGGCCACAUUGGAACUGAGACACGGUCCAGACUCCUACGGGAGGCAGCAGUGGGGAAUAUUGCACAAUGGGGGAAACCCUGAUGCAGCAACGCCGCGUGAGUGAUGAAGGUCCUCGGAUUGUAAAGCUCUGUCUUUUGGGACGAUAAUGACGGUACCAAAGGAGGAAGCCACGGCUAACUACGUGCCAGCAGCCGCCGUAACAC
rnacentral:rRNA from 1 species